GAUGAACGCUGGCGGCGUGCCUAAUACAUGCAAGUCGAACGCUUCACUUCGGUGAAGAGUGGCGGACGGGUGAGUAAUACAUAAGUAACCUGGCAUCUACAGGGGGAUAACUGAUGGAAACGUCAGCUAAGACCGCAUAGGUGUAGAGAUCGCAUGAACUCUAUAUGAAAAGUGCUACGGGACUGGUAGAUGAUGGACUUAUGGCGCAUUAGCUUGUUGGUAGGGUAACGGCCUACCAAGGCGACGAUGCGUAGCCGACCUGAGAGGGUGACCGGCCACACUGGGACUGAGACACGGCCCAGACUCCUACGGGAGGCAGCAGUAGGGAAUUUUCGGCAAUGGGGGAAACCCUGACCGAGCAACGCCGCGUGAAGGAAGAAGUAAUUCGUUAUGUAAACUUCUGUCAUAGAGGAAGAACGGUGGAUAUAGGGAAUGAUAUCCAAGUGACGGUACUCUAUAAGAAAG
rnacentral:rRNA from 1 species